GCCGAGGUAGCUCAGUUGGUAGAGCAGGGGACUGAAAAUCCCCGUGUCGGCAGUUCGAUUCUGUCCCUCGGCACCA
rnacentral:tRNA from 1 species